rnacentral:lncRNA from 1 species
CCUGUCAACGGCGGAGGAGGAAGACCCCCGUUCGGGGCGAGCUCUCGAGCCCGCGCAGGGAUCGGAGCUCUGGGCUCGCGCGGAAAGGCGCGGCGGCAGCUGUGCCUCAGCCAGGUGUCCCCCCUCGGCGGGGCCCGCGCCGCCGCGCCCGCCCCCUCCCCCGGCGCCGCGCUCCCCGCCCCAUCGCCGGGGACCAGGGAACCCCCCGGCUCGAUUUUUUGUGCAGUUUCAGCAAAGCUCCGAGGAAGUUGGUCCUUUUGUUCCACUAUUUAUAGAUUGCGUCAACAUUGCGAAAAGGAGAAGGCGGAGCGGUGGCCCCUCCCCCUACCCUCCCCCCGCCGGCUCCUGGGAGAGAAAAGCCCCAGCACACGACCUAAGUACACAGCGCGCCAGCCGCCCGCCCGCGGCCUUCUGCUCCCCGCUUUUUCCCCCUCCCAGCCGGGGCCCGAACGCUGCCAACCCCGUCACGUGCCCGCCCGGGAAAACCAGCUCCCCGGGGCUCCGCGCCGCCCGCCAGGCUUCGUGGCGGCGGCGGCGGCGGCGGCGGCAGCGGCCUCACCCAGCUCGUGGGCUCAGGCCACGGCUCAGGCGUCACGCACAGCGUGGGCACCCACGCCCUCGCCACCCGGCGAGGAUCUUGGGCCCCGGACUUGUGGGAGUGCUGCGGAGCGUCCCGAACUUCCGCCCCCUCUCCCCUCCGGCUUCCCAAUCGCCGCCCCGCUCGCUGAGUGUGCGCGCAUUCGGGCCUCGCCUCGGAGCCGGGAGCCUGACCUGUCCCCAGGCCCCUCGCGCGCCGCUGUUCCAGACCUUGCGGUGCUAGCCCCUGCUCACGCGCAGGACUGGGGAGGGCAGAGGUGUGAGGGAUGUGGGGGUGGCUCGCAGCCGCUCGCGGGCAGGCGGGCGGAGCGCGGGAAGCGCGGUGCGGGCGUUCCACGGCGCACCCAGACGCUCUCCCUCCUCCGCAGGUGCAGCGAGGCUUUGCGCGAGCUCGAGUCCCCCUUCCCGGACAGCUAG